rnacentral:lncRNA from 1 species
UCUGAGUAGUUUUACGUCAUGCAGUGAUGAACGUUCUUGUACUUGCCUCGACUCUUUUGUAUCACAUGGGUUUGAUGUUGAUUGAGAUUAGGUACUCGGUCUUUUUACCGUCAUACAGGUUAGACGUCUUCUUGUCACGGCUCUUUUGCGUCAUACAAGUUUGAUAUUUGAUCGAAAUUGGCCGACUAUUUUUGUGUCUCACGGGAUAGAUGUUUUCAAUUGGAUUUGGUGAGCCAUUUCUGCUCACAUCACCUUGGAGUUCUUUGACUUCGAAGAUGAUUGAUGAAAAAGGUGUUUGAGGAACUUUGAUGUUUCGGCCACAUUGGAGGACUUGCUCUGAUUGUUCUAGGCUUCUUUCAAAACUGACUUCACUCUCUUUCGAGUGUCGGAUCUUUUAACCUUUUUUUUUUUUUCCAGUGGGUACGAGACCCAAUCGAAUUUUUUGUUUCUAUCCCAAUCAAAUUUUUUUUUCUUCAAGCCUUUUCUUGGGAUCUUCAAGAUGAAGAAUCAUCGAGUACUUUUCACCUUUCAAUCUUGGCUAUUUGCGACAUAACUCAAGGGAGAGUUUUUCUUUAUGUAUUUGAGCAAGUCACCGUCUUGGAUAAUAUCAGAUAUUGACAUAACUCAAGGGAGAGUUUUUCUUUAUGUAUUUGAGCAAGUCGCCGUCUUGGAUAAUAUCAAAUAUUGCCCCUGAGUGUUCAGAAUCCCCUUGGACUUCUAAUUUUGUUCCUCCACUUACCUAGCCCUUUGAAAUUUAGAUAAUCAACGUUAUUUAGAUUUACUUGGACCGAUGUCUUCAAUUUAUUUUUCUUUCUAACACCAUUCGAACUUGAGAAGCGGGGAAUUUCUAGAGAUGUUGGAGAAGAGACGAAAAGAUGGAGAAGUCCUAUUUUUCGUCACCCUGGGUCCCUUUAGGUGUUCAGCCCGAUGACUUUUUUUCCAACGCUCGGGUUUCGUUUCUGAUUUUGGAUCGACGCCUGAUGGAUUUUUCCAAUGCUUGGGAUUCCUUCUUUUUUUUAUCCCGAUGGAAUUUCUUUCUUUUUCUUGAAGAAUGUGACGAAAGAGGAGGAGGAGAAGAGUCAGUGUUUUUUUUUUUUCCCUUAUUGACACUUUGUCUUAGGAAACAUAUAAGAACUCUAUCCAGGCGGCAGGGAGGUCCUAGUCUUGAUUAUCCUUAGAUUUUCCUUGUCCUUGAUUGGUAUUCGAUACUUCAUUGACAGCGGUUGCUGAAUUCUUCUAGAGUCUUUCCUCUUUGAAUUACUUCACUCGGGCCUUGAUUUUCAGAUUUGGACUCACGCUCAGCUUCUUAGUCAUACAAUCUGCUACUUGACUGAUUAAUCUCAUUUUCUUUCUUCUUUUUUUUUGACCCCUUAAGCUAUCAAUGUCAUGGAUAAGCAAAGCAUGAAUGCCCCACUUGGCUUAUUUGAGAGGGAUGAGUAAGUGAUCACCCCAUGCCUUUUCGGUAGUCUUUUUUAGUCGCAACUUCAUAUUGCUCUUGCGGAAUAUAUCGCCUCGAGGCAUAUUGGGAGUCAUUAGAAAAUGUGUUGGAUUCACAAGUUUUCCUUACUAUAUUAUCAUCAUCAAGUGAGAGUGCCCCUUUCAAAUAGUUUGGUGGAGCUACCCCUGUAGGGCUUUCUUCAUUAGACGAAACUAUUCUUCUUAGCAUGUUGGAUGGGACAAUCUCUACAACAUUUUUUUCAGAUGGAGGGAUCCUUAUCAAGCUGGUGGAUAGGACUGCCCCUGUUAGAUCUUCUUCUUGGGGUUCUUUGUCCCAGAUGAGAGAAUUAUCCAGAAAAUCUUGUUAGAGUGGUUUGAGUGAUCCUCUUAGAAUUUCUAGAGGUUCGGCUUCUUCUAAUUCUCGCAAAGGUGUUGAAUCUUCAGAAAUGGUCAGAUCAGGUCUUUCACUUCUUUAGUAUUAAUUGUUGGAUCGACUUCUUCUAAUUCUCUCAAAAGUGUUGAAUCUUCAAGAAUGGAUAUGGGUCCUUUACUUCUUCAGUAUUAACUGUUGGAUCCACCUUAAAGGAUGGCGUGAUUGCAUGCUCUAGGCUGAGCUUUUCAUCCUAAAUAGGUGGAUUCGUCAAGAAGUUAGGGGAAAGAGGCCCAAGCAGGACCCUUAGGAUUUCAAGGGGUUUCAUUUCUUUCAUAAUUUUUGAGAGGAUAGACCUUCUUUCAAGUUCAUCUUAGGGGAUAGUUCAAUUGAAUCCUCUGAGCUUGACUCAUUUAUUUCUUCAUGGAUUAUACUUUUGAGAUUAAGGUGUUCUUCACUAAUGUAGUCAUGGGGAUCCUUAUCUUCGGGAUAUUGGUUGAGCUCAUGGAUGACUUGAGCCUCCCCCGCUGUACUUAUUUGAAAGAUGAGAGUAAUUGUGUCAUUUUCUUUCGUAGUGACAUGUAUCAAAGGAGGUUGAUGCGCCGCUAAUUGGGCAACAUCUCCCUUAGACCUAGACUUAACAGAUGAAGGUGGGUUUAACCUUGGUUCUUUAGUCCCAGGGGUCGAAUGUCUUGUUGAGUAGCUCGAGCCAUACGGACUUGCUAGACUACACGACUUGGUUGGAUUGUAGAUGGGCUAGCUAUGCUUAACCCUAGGUGUGGGAUUAUGGACCCAUUGGCACUCGAUCUUGAGUGACCUGAGAUAGGGUAGACCCAAGGAAUUGAGCCAUAAGGUCAUUCUAGGAGGUCUAGAUGUCUCAGUAGACUUAGUACUUGAGUCACCACGAACUACAUACAUGAUUAGAAGAUGAUGCAAUGAAAAUCAUUUUUUUCUUAAAAAAAAUUUAGCCUAUUUUUUGUUUUUUUUUGGUAUUAAAAUUUUAAGAAAGAAGAUAAAUAUGUUUUCUAAAAAU